GAAAUACGAUAACUAGUGUGAAUUGCAGAAUUCCGUGAAUCAUCGAGUCUUUGAACGCACAUUGCGCCCCCUGGUAUUCCGGGGGGCAUGCCUGUCCGAGCGUCAUUGCUGCCCAUCAAGCACGGCUUGUGUGUUGGGUCGUCGUCCCCUCUCCGGGGGGGACGGGCCCCAAAGGCAGCGGCGGCACCGCGUCCGAUCCUCGAGCGUAUGGGGCUUUGUCACCCGCUCUGUAGGCCCGGCCGGCGCUUGCCGAACGCAAAUCAAUCUUUUUCCAGGUUGACCUCGGAUCAGGUAGGGAUACCCGCUGAACUUAAGC
rnacentral:misc_RNA from 1 species